GAUGAAGAACGUAGCGAAAUGCGAUAAGUAGUGUGAAUUGCAGAAUUCAGUGAAUCAUCGAGUCUUUGAACGCACAUUGCGCCCCCUGGUAUUCCGGGGGGCAUGCCUGUCCGAGCGUCAUUGCUGCCCUCAAGCACGGCUUGUGUGUUGGGCCUCCGUCCUCCUCCCGGGGGACGGGCCCGAAAGGCAGCGGCGGCACCGCGUCCGGUCCUCGAGCGUAUGGGGCUUCGUCACCCGCUCUUGUAGGCCCGGUCGGCGCUUGCCGACACAUCAAUCUUUUUUCCAGGUUGACCUCGGAUCAGGUAGGGAUACCCGCUGAACUUAAGCAUAUCAAUAAGCGGAGGA
rnacentral:misc_RNA from 1 species